AUGGCUCUACCAGCUGAUUACUGUCGUCUGUAUUGACCGCCAUAUUCGAAUUUGGCAAGAAGUUUCUCUCGGUCUGUACGGUGUAUAAGGAAUUAAGUAUUAUCGAAAUGGUGAUUUCUUGUUCCGCUUUCAAUUGUACGAAGCGAUGGAGUAAGGAAAGUGACUUACCAUUUCACAGGUAAUAGGACUACCGAUACAAUACGAUAAAAAUACAGACUUAGUGCGUUUGCUAAUGCGAUGUUUUUGAACAGGUUUCUCCUAAAGCACCCAGAGCUGCUAAAGAAGUGUAUUACUUCCGUGAAGCGGAAAGGUUUUAAUCCUACGUCUUGCAGUUCUCUUUGCGGAAACCAUUUGCGACAAGAUGAUUACGUAGUGAGCCCUAGAACGUGGAAGAAACGUCUCAAACCCGAAGCAGUGCCAUCAGUUUUUGACUUUCCGGCUCAUUUGAUACCACCAAAUAAACAGCGACGAUGACAUGUUGUUAGGAUUUUGAGUGACAACGAAUGCUUCUCCAUUUGAGCGUUCUGUCAUAGAAUCUGUGCUCGAUUUGCCAGCUGCAGAACCUACUGAUUGCGUGGAGAAUGUUGUCAAUGAGAAUUCUUCCGUGGAAAGCAUGUCCCAAUUAUCCAAUGCAGAAGCUGCGAAUUGUGUCAAAAACAGUGCAGUUGGUUCUUCAGUAAUUGAUUGUGGUAUACAGUCGAAAGUAGAAAUGGAAGACAAGGCGACCGAAACUUGCAAUUUUUUCUCAGACAUUGUGCACGAAUUAAAACGUAAACUGAAGUGCGUCUGUGAAAAACUUCGAAGAAGA